GGAGUUGGCCAGGCAAUCGCCGCUUAUUGGGCAGUGUCUCUAGGGCUAGUACCUAGUGCACUUGUGUUAAUAAGGGGAGGAAAGUCCGGGCUCCACAGGGCAGGGUGCCAGGUAACGCCUGGGCGGCGAAAGCCGACGACAAGUGCAGCAGAGAGGAAACCGCCUAAGCGCGAAAGCGCCGGUAAGGGUGAAAGGGUGCGGUAAGAGCGCACCGCACCACUGGUAACAGUGUGUGGCAAGGUAAACUCCACCCGGAGCAAGACCAAAUAGGAUCUCUUAUGGCGUGGCCCACGUUGAGAUCGGGUGUGUUGCUUGAGCCAGCGAGUGAUUGCUGGCCUAGAUGAAUGGUUGCCCACGACAGAACCCGGCUUAUCGGCCAACUCCACCU
rnacentral:RNase_P_RNA from 3 species